rnacentral:rRNA from 1 species
AUUGAACGCUGGCGGCAUGCCUUACACAUGCAAGUCGAACGGCAGCACGGGUGCUUGCACCUGGUGGCGAGUGGCGAACGGGUGAGUAAUACAUCGGAACGUACCUUAUCGUGGGGGAUAACGCAGCGAAAGCUGUGCUAAUACCGCAUACGCCCUGAGGGGGAAAGCGGGGGAUCGCAAGACCUCGCGCGAUUAGAGCGGCCGAUGCCUGAUUAGCUUGUUGGUGGGGUGAAAGCCCACCAAGGCGACGAUCAGUAGCUGGUCUGAGAGGACGAUCAGCCACACUGGGACUGAGACACGGCCCAGACUCCUACGGGAGGCAGCAGUGGGGAAUUUUGGACAAUGGGGGCAACCCUGAUCCAGCAAUGCCGCGUGAGUGAGGAAGGCCUUCGGGUUGUAAAGCUCUUUUGUCAGGGAAGAAACACCGGCUCUAACACAGUCUGGGAAUGACGGUACCUGAAGAAUAGGCACCGGCUAACUACGUGCCAGCCGCCGCGGUAA